rnacentral:SRP_RNA from 15 species
UGUGGUGAAGGAGUGGUCCGAGAUGAAUAGGCUGGAGAUCCAUAAGAAGGCUGUGACCGGGCUCGGCUGGACUCACAGAGCAUCCUCACUUGUCAGUUGCUCCAUGGACAGAUC